GACAGAGGUGCCGAGCGUUAGGCGGAAUCACUGGGCUUAAAGCGUGUGUAGGCGGAUGCCUAAGUACCUUGUGAAAUCCCACGGCUCAACCGUGGAACUGCUGGGUAUACUGGGCGUCUUGAGCCAACUAGGGGUGACCGGAACAAACGGUGGAGCGGUGAAAUGCGUAGAUAUCGUUUGGAACGCCGAUGGUGAAAACAGGUCGCUGGGGUUGUGCUGACGCUGAGACACGAAAGCCAGGGGAGCAAACGGG
rnacentral:rRNA from 1 species